rnacentral:lncRNA from 1 species
GUGGGAGUUACGUAGAAUAUAAGUCUGGGUUAGGCACCAGGCUCUCUGUGGUUCUCCAGUGUCCAGAAGAUCCAGGGAUUUCCAUUUUCUUCUUUGUGACUGUCUUGCUGGGGCUGAAAGCACUGUUGCUACUCAACAUCUUGACCAUCUAUAUAAUAAGGAAAAGAAGAAUAUAAAGAAGAGGAAAGAACUGGACAGUCCUAGAAUCUACAGUGAUACUUUCCAAAGACUACAAGAAGAUCAGCUCAUGCUUCCAGAG